rnacentral:rRNA from 1 species
GACUGCUAGUCGAGCGCUUCCUAGCCAAUUUGGGAGCGCGGCGUACAGCUCAGUAACACGUGGCUAACCUGCCCUUGGGACGAGGACACCCCCGGGAAACUGGGGCUAAUCCUCGAUAGGUGAAGAACUCUGGAAUGAGUCUCCACCCAAAAGACGCUUACGCUAUGCUUUUAGGCGCCGCCCAAGGAUGGGGCCGCGACCGAUCAGGUUGUUGGUGAGGCAACGGCUCACCAAGCCUUCUACCGGUGCGGGCCGUGGGAGCGGGAGCCCGGAGAUGGGCACUGAGACAAGGGCCCAGGCCCUACGGGGCGCAGCAGUCGCGAAAACUUUGCAAUACACGAAAGUGUGACAGGGCUAUCCCGAGUGCCAUCCGCUGAGGAAGGCUUUUACCCAGUUUAGCACGCUGGGGGAAUAAGGAGAGGGCAAGACUGGUGUCAGCCGCCGCGGUAAUACCAGCUCUCCGAGUGGUGUGGAUGUUUAUUGGGCCUAAAGCAUCCGUAGCUGGCCAAGUUAGUCCCCUGUUAAAUCCACCGAUUUAAUCGUUGGUGUGCGGGGGAUACUGCUCGGCUAGGGGACGGGAGAGGCAGACGGUAUUUCCGGGGUAGGGGUGAAAUCCUAUAAUCCCGGGAGGACCACCAGUGGCGAAGGCUGUCUGCUAGAACGCGCCCGACGGUGAGGGAUGAAGGCUGGGGGAGCGAACCGGAUUAGAUACCCGGGUAGUCCCAGCUGUAAACGAUGCAGCUAGGUGUUUGGACGGCCACGUGCCGUUCUAGUGCCGCAGGAAGCCGUUAAGCCUGCCGCCUGGGGAGUACGGUCGCAAGCUGAACUUAA